rnacentral:rRNA from 1 species
GAUGAACGCUGGCGGCGUGCCUAAUACAUGCAAGUCGAGCGAACAGAUGAGGAGCUUGCUCCUCUGACGUUAGCGGCGGACGGGUGAGUAACACGUGGAUAACCUACCUAUAAGACUGGGAUAACUUCGGGAAACCGGAGCUAAUACCGGAUAAUAUAUUGAACCGCAUGGUUCAAUAGUGAAAGACGGUUUUGCUGUCACUUAUAGAUGGAUCCGCGCCGCAUUAGCUAGUUGGUAAGGUAACGGCUUACCAAGGCAACGAUGCGUAGCCGACCUGAGAGGGUGAUCAGCCACACUGGAACUGAGACACGGUCCAGACUCCUACGGGAGGCAGCAGUAGGGAAUCUUCCACAAUGGGCGAAAGCCUGACGGAGCAACGCCGCGUGAGUGAUGAAGGUCUUCGGAUCGUAAAACUCUGUUAUUAGGGAAGAACAAAUGUGUAAGUAACUAUGCACGUCUUGACGGUACCUAAACAGAAAGCCACGGCUAACUACGUG